CACUACACCAGCAGAGCGAGUAGAGAUGGCUCCUUUGAAUGAGGAGAAUGAGGAAGAAGAGGACUCCACCCUCUUUGAUGUCAAGUACAGGUGAACGCCAGCAUUAAACAGAGGAUGAUGGAUUUUAAUCCCACCAUUUUCUCCAGUGGGAACACAACCCAAGGAUAUGUGGCCUAAUGCAGUCUCCUGAUGUCUUCAGUGUUUGGUAACUUUUGUAAAGUCUAGUCAAGUUUCCGAUCUCACCGAUAUUUGCAGAAAAGGUUACCUCUGUGGUCUGGUAUUCUAGAAUGUAUUCUGAUUGUAAACAUGCUGUAUUUACAAUCCUUUUGUACACAUCAGACACUUCCAACACAGAAGGUUCCUCUUCAGAGGGAUGUUGCCAAUAGAUUGUGAAUUGGGGCGAGCUCAGUAAAUUUGAAUCUUCUUGAAGCAAAAAUAAAAUACAUAGAGAACAUUUGAUGGCUUUUGCUGUCUGCAAGGCAAUCCUUUUGCCGUCCUGUAAUGCUUAUGGUAUAUUAUUCACUGUAAUAAUAUAAGAUACAAUCCUCAGAAUAAUAUUUAUAUAAAUACUUAUUUACUCGUCUGUUGCAAAGAUUAUUUUAAUUGUCUUAUUAUUCUUAUUCCAAAUAUUACACUAACCACUCAAAUGUGCAUACACUGUAUACUGUCUGAGGCUUUCUGUCCUCUGUCUCAUAGUUUGUUUGGGUGCAUAUUUUUACUGUAUGUGUUUGAGUCUCCCAUUUUGCUGCUAUCUCUAACCUGGGGUUGGAUAAGGUUUCUAGUGCAUAUGUUUGGUCACAAUGACAAACAAGUAUAUUGAAGAACAGGUCAUAGAAUAUACUUUGUAGGAUUUUGGAAAUACAUGUACGUUUCUCAAAGUUGGAUUGUAAAAUAUAUCAAUGUAUAUUUGAAUAUACAAACAGUAUCUCAUUUUUUUUUUACCAUUAUUACCUUGCCAGACAUGUUCCGAGACCGGGUCAUUGGUGUGUUCUAGUGAAUGUAAUUACACAUAACAGGCAAAUCCUGGUAUUGCUUACACAGGCUUAUUAAAAAUGGUAACCGUAACCCAGGACCUUCGUGGCAUGUUCCACAUUUACUCACAACUUGUGGAAUUAAUUAUUUGAUUGGUUCCAUGCCACAUGCGACUAGACUGAUGUGUGAUAGAUAUUUAUUUUAAGUGAAGGAAUAAUCAUGGAUAACUAACUACUCUUACAAAAUGAAUGCUUUUAAGCUGUUGAUAGAAGAAAUAGUGUGAGGAGGGGGUUAUGACUGUUGUAAUAUAAAUGUAUGCAGAUUACUUUCAAAUGAAAUUGGCACCUACCUCUUUCCUGUAAUAAUUAAGAAAGUUUAAACCCCGAACAACGUCCCACCAUUUAGACAGUUGCAGUAAAAUAAACUGACCAAUGGACUGGCAAACUUUGUAUAAAGUGCAUGGUUUUUCUAUUUCAAAAUAGAAGCAAUUGAACAGCCAAUGUGUAUGUACAGUGCCUUUUAAUUGGACCAUACAUCAGUAAAUGGAAUGCAUGCUUUCACAUUCAAAAGCUUUACAUUAGCCUACCCCUACAAUUAAAACACAUUGUUGGACAAAAGUUACCCAUCAACUCAGGUAUUUCAAGGCACCUGUGACGUGUCGCUCUAAAUAGUCUAAUACACGAGGAAUACUUUUGAUUGAAACAAAAGUACAUGUUUAAAGAAUAAUUUAAUAUGAAGAAAUAACUCAAAGAAUCAUUCCAUCCUUAGAUAAUGUGGUCUUUAGGUCCUCUGGAAAUGUUGUGUAGUAAUAUAAAAAACAUGUUGAAUCCCUAAUGUCACCUUGUCUUUUUAACCAGUUUUGUUAUCUGAGAGUACACUAUCAACUAGAGUACAUACGGGGGUUUCCAGGAAACUCAAAUUAAUUCCAUUUGAACUAUCUGAUAAGUAACACCAUUAGAGGAACUUAAAACGUUCUGUUCAAUCUUUCUAUGCCACAUUGUCAGAGAGCACAUUAUGAUUUUAAGCUGUUAACUUGUUUUCCAUUUAGAUUUGUAUUUUUCAGCCUGCAGUUAAAAUAAAUUACUGUUGAAGAUUGACAGUAAGAUUCAAGUUUUCCAUUGUAUACAAAUGUAAAAAAACUUGAGUCCAGUUUGGAUUAUUAUUUUAUGUUUCAGUCAUCAGAUGAUUUUUAUUUAGGAUAUUUUGAGUGUGAUUUAGUUAAUUCUGUCGUUUUCAAUAAUGUACAGGUAGUCUUGUUUCUUUGAUUGUAUUCUUGAUAUAUUUCUUUUAGAUGCAUUGUUGCUAAAACAUUUCCACCUUCCUCAUUUCUCUCUUCUGCAAUUGAUUUCUUCUACAAAAUCCACUCUAAAAGGAUAAUAGUGUGAAUGUUUCUGAUCUUCAGUGCAGUGUUUGAAUGUACAAGUAAUUUAUUUUGGGGUUUAUGUCUCGUAACAAUAUUCAUUUGAACUUUAUUGAGAACUUUUAUUUGAAAUGAAUAUUCUGGUUAAGGCAGCUUUCCCUCUGGUAAAUGCAAUCAAAGCUGUCAUACUAUAUCUAGAUCAUUGCUAAUUACCCUCAUCUCAACUCUAAGCCAAAAAUGCCUAAGUGAGAAAACCAUUGUUUAAUGCUUCUUUUGAAGAAUAUAGAAAGCAUGUCUAGCUUGGUUUUUCUGUCACAGAAAAUGUCACUGUAGAGUUAACUACCAACUGGCUGGCUCCAUGUUUUUUUUUCCAAAUAAAAGUACUCUCCCUCACCAUCAA